AGCGCACGUCGCCAAUCCGGCCAUGGACCGGCUUUCCCAGAGCUUCGCUUCGUCUCCUUCCCGGUGGACUACCGCUCCCUGGCUGUCAUUAGGCGACUCUUAUCGGCGUCCCUCUCACACACUAAGGGAGAAAACUACAUUUCCCAUCAUGCUGCGUGCGCGCGCCUUCCCCCCCCCGGGAAGUGACAGCUGGCUCUUACUCUUCCACAGACUGCCUCGCUUCCACGUCUCCUACCACGCGCCUGCCAGAAUCUUGUAACUUCCAGCGCGCCCUACUUCCCUCGUACCUGCAAGAAUGAGGGUAGCCAAAGGGCGGGGCCAGAUGCUACGCGGAACAGUGUCCUUCAUUUAUAUAUUACCGGCAACGGGAUGGAAAAAAUCUGAGAGCUGAACGCGGGGAGGGACCGCGCACGGGUACAGGGACAAGCGUUCGAGGAAAUGAUCCCUGGAGGAUUCCCAAGGUUGGGCCUCACAGGAGGUCCCCUUUUGACAGGCUGAGCACGUGUAUUUUCGUUAAGCAGUUUGCUCUAGAUAGCGCACAAGUCCUCAUGUUAGCUCUACUGAAAUCGAGAGCACGAACCAACAGCUCCCCAAAAACGUAUGCGCAGCUAUCGGGAACCUGUGGCCCUCCAGACGUUGUUGAACUACAACUCCCAUCAUCCCUACCCAUAGGCCAUGCUGGCUGGGCUGAUAGGAGCAUCAUCAUCUAGAAGUUUCUCAUCUCUAGCUUAAAGAGGCAACAGAGGAAGUUGGAAGAUUUAUACUCUAUGCACUUUUCAAGGUUCUGAUUAACUCUACUGGAUCUGACUUUAAUACAGAUCUCUUGGAAAAACGAC